GGCUAAUAAACUAAAGUUUAGGUUUAUAAUUCGAGUAUAAAUUUUGUGAUAAUACACUAUUAGUUU
rnacentral:tRNA from 1 species